rnacentral:misc_RNA from 1 species
GAUGAAGACGAUGAGGAUGAAGAUAAUGAAGGGGAGGGGGGGCUGAGCAAAUCUGGGAAAGAGUUGAAAAAAUUGCUUAGGCGAACUGGUGGGCUUAAUGAUUCAGAUGGAGAGGAUGAUGAUGAUGACGACGAUGUUGAGGAGGAUACUGGUGGCACUCCAUCUUUACCUUCGAAGCAGAAGGAUACAGUUAAAGAAGAAGCUGCAGCCAGCAGUCCCUCAAAACUAACACCUUCUGGAUCUGCCAAGGGAACCCCUUCUACUGCAAAGACAGCAAAAGGGAAAAGGAAAAAUGGCGAGGAUGUGAAACCAUCCAGUGCACCUCCAAAGAAAAUGAAAACAGAGACGGAAUCGAAGUCUACAGAUGAAGGUGUAUCUACUUCUAAAACUACGGCCUCAAAAGGUGCACCAGCAUCAGUCAAAACUGAACCAGCAUCGCAUUCUGGACCCGUUACUGAGGAAGAAAUUCGGGCUGUUUUGCGGCAAAGGACACCUGUAACUACACAGGAUCUUGUUGCAAAAUUCAAAGCAAGACUACGAACCCCAGAGGACAAGAAUGCUUUUGCAGAAAUACUUAGGAGAAUUUCAAGGAUUCAAAAGACGAACGGAGGACCGAGUUACGUUGUGUUGAGAAAACCUGAAGACUAGAAGAAUUAAGUUAAUGAUUCCUUACUGGUUGGCGUGUUAUGGUCGUCGAGUAGAAUGUUUAUGUGUCGAAACUCUAUGCUGCAAACGCUCGAUGGGCUCCUCAUUCACAUGUGAUGAACUCGAUAUGGUACACUUUUAUCUAGGCAAAGGCAAAGGAUAAAUUUGUGGCUUUGAUAGAGGCAUUUGCUGUUGGAAUUUAAGUUGUAAGAGAUAUAGGUAUACGUUGAGAAAGAAACGAAAAAUUCUUCAGACCCUUUGUCAUAUUGGUUGUCAUAUAUUAACUUUGGCAUUUUCUAAAAGACCUUUCUAAAAUAAUGCAUGGAGUAAAGUA